rnacentral:rRNA from 1 species
UACGUAGGGUGCAAGCGUUAAUCGGAAUUACUGGGCGUAAAGCGUGCGCAGGCGGCUGUGCAAGACAGAUGUGAAAUCCCCGGGCUUAACCUGGGAACUGCAUUUGUGACUGCACAGCUGGAGUGCGGCAGAGGGGGAUGGAAUUCCGCGUGUAGCAGUGAAAUGCGUAGAUAUGCGGAGGAACACCGAUGGCGAAGGCAAUCCCCUGGGCCUGCACUGACGCUCAUGCACGAAAGCGUGGGGAGCAAACAGG